CAGGAAUACGCGAAUAAAUAAUAACAAAUGAACAACCAACGUUAAUGUGUUUGAAUUGCCGAUCGCGCUAUAUUUAACAGGGGAAACUACGAUCUAUAAAUAGGGCAAAGUAUAUAUUUAGAACCUGAUGCGGAGAUCAGUAAAAUAAUACAGUGUGUAAAAUGUAUGCUGUUUACCUUUUAUAAAAUAUAUAUCAAGUCAAAUAUCAAUCUUCUUAUUCUUCGAGGUGUAUAUCAACUUCACUCUUCAAAACCAUAUAAACAAUUGCUCGGCGGAAGUUGACGUCAACAAUGGGAAAGUGAAAGUACGGGAAUAAAUAUAACGUUACGUCGUGUAAAUUGUACUUUCACAACACUGCCCCCCCCCCCUUUUCAAAAAAUCAUUUCGCCCUCGAAAUUAAAACAUUACCUAUAUGUACCUUAUUUACAGUAAAAAAAAAAACAUCAACAAUAACGACAUGAAAAAUAAACAAUAUGCAUAAUUUCUAAAUUUCAAAAAUCACCUCUUCUGUAAAUGCAUAUUCAUAACAAUUAAAACAUAGCAAUAUCAACAC
rnacentral:lncRNA from 1 species